UGGGUGUAGACUUUCAGGAAGCACAGCCAUGAAGCUGCAUGCGUCUGUGUGUGGAUGCCUCAUGCCUUUUCCUGGUGGUUUGCAGGCAUGGAAGAUUCUUCUGUUCAUCUAAGCUCCUGACUUUAGGCCCUUCUAGAACAUUAGAGAGGAGAAGAAAUCACGUGCAAGGAUUUAGGGACAAGAGGAUGAGGUUUUGGUGUUUCCUUUCUGGUAUUAGGUUUUCCAGAGAGAGGCUGUUAGCCUGUCUCUCGCCCACUCCACCACUGUGAAUCCUGGCUACUGGGGCUAGUUCCUUGCUAGGAAAAAAAAACUCUAGAGAAAUGUGUUUGUGUGUGGUGGGUGGGCGGGGGCCCUGAGGAUGCAGGGACUGUGUCUGCUGUGUUGUCUGUUAUAAGAUGUUUCAGACCUAUUUUGCAUACUGGCAGCGACAAGUUGAGACUUGUUCAACUUGACACAGUCCUGUGGUCAUAGCGAAUCUUUCUAAAGCUCUGAUCAGUCAAGAAGGGGGUUGUAUCAAUCCUCAGAACCCUGAGUGGAACUUUCUACAGGAUUUAUUAGGAGAAAAACCUUCCCGGAAGCUGCAGAAGGACAAAUACAGAAUCCGUGUCUGGGAGAAACCUCGUGGCCUGGUCUCCAUUAUUUGAGAUGAGUUACAUCUUGGAGGCCUGAUCUUUUGGCCAGAAGGAGAUUAAAAAGAUGCCCCUCAAGAUGGCUGUGCCUGUCAGCUGCAUGGAGCUUCGUUCAAGUAUUUUCUGAGCCUGAUGGAUUUACAGUGAUCUUCAGUGGUCUGGGGAAUAACGCUGGUGGAACCAUGCACUGGAAUGACACACGCCCGGCACAUUUCAGGAUACUAAAAGUGGUUUUAAGGGAGGCUGUGGCUGAAUGCCUCAUGGAUUCUUACAGCUUGGAUGUCCAUGGGGGACGAAGGACUGCAGCUGGCUGAGAGGGUUGAGAUCUCUGUUUACUUAGAUCUCUGCCAACUUCCUUUGGGUCUCCCUAUGGAAUGUAAGACCCCGACUCUUCCUGGUGAAGCAUCUGAUGCACGUUCCAUCCGGCGCUCAGCUGGGCUUGAGAUUCCUGGGAACACCACCAUGGAGGGCCUGGCCUUUGGCGGUGGACAGUCUGUGGCUGGGUGGGAACGUCAGGAGUGGGGCCUGCCUCUUUGCUGGGAAUGCCGUGCACUCCCAGCCCACUUGCCCCAUGCCAGCACUCGAGGCAGGACUUCGCAGGUGAGCAGUAACGGAAAUCAGCCCCGUUUAUUCCUCCCAGCACCUGCCUUAUCCAACUCCCCACGCUGUGGCUGAGUCCCAGCCUGCUAUGGAAGCAUCACUGGACUCCCAUUGAACUCUGUGCAGAUUCGCUGUUCGUAGACAUGGUACCUGAUGGACACCAAGCUACGUACAGCUUCAAGGCCCCUUCUUUCUUUGCUAAUAAAAAAUAAAAAAUAAAAACAUA
ensembl:lncRNA PVT1 Pvt1 oncogene